ensembl:misc_RNA 7SK 7SK RNA
GGAUGUGAGGGCGAUCUGGCCGUGACAGCCGUCACCCCGUGGAUCACCAGGGUCGAUGCGGCUGAUCCAGCUGGCUGGUCGGGGCUCCCCUCCCACCCCUGCUGCUCCACGCGUCUCCCUCCCAAAGCUGCGUGCGGGGUCCAAGAGGACGACCUUCCCGGGUAGAGGAGGACCGUUCUUCGGUCAAGGGUAUAGGAGUAGCUGUGCUCCCCUGCCAGAACGUCCAAACAAGCUCUCAGGGUCCGUUUGCGGGAGAAUUUAGGGCCGUCAAGCUUCCACGACUCCAGACACAGCCAAAUGAGCCCCUGCAGGUGGUCGUCUGCCUUUCCAU